CCUGGUAGUGGGGGAUAACGUUCGGAAACGGACGCUAAUACCGCAUACGUCCUACGGGAGAAAGCAGGGGACCUUCGGGCCUUGCGCUAUCAGAUGAGCCUAGGUCGGAUUAGCUAGUUGGUGAGGUAAUGGCUCACCAAGGCUACGAUCCGUAACUGGUCUGAGAGGAUGAUCAGUCACACUGGAGCUGAGACACGGUCCACACUCCUGCGGGAGGCAGCAGUGGGGAAUAGUGGACAAUGGGCGAAAGCCUGA
rnacentral:rRNA from 1 species